rnacentral:tRNA from 1 species
GGAGGUGUGGGUCAAGUGAUUGAGAUCUUGCCUAGCAAGCAAGAGGCCCUGAGUUCAAACCCCAGUACUGCCU